GACUGCAUGCAUUUUAAGGCUUUUAAUUAGU
rnacentral:piRNA from 1 species